rnacentral:rRNA from 1 species
UACAGGGGGGGCAAGCGUUGUUCGGAAUUACUGGGCGUAAAGAGCUCGUAGGCGGUGUGUCGCGUCGGCCGUGAAAACCUGCAGCUUAACUGUGGGCGUGCGGUCGAUACGGGCAUCACUGGAGUUCGGCAGGGGAGACUGGAAUUCCUGGUGUAGCGGUGAAAUGCGCAGAUAUCAGGAAGAACACCUAUGGCGAAGGCAGCACUCUGGGACGGUACUGACGCUGAGACGCGAAAGCGUGGGGAGCGAACAGG